rnacentral:rRNA from 1 species
GUCUCUUCGGGGAUGAUUAAACCGGCGCACGGGUGAGUAACACGUGAGUGACCUGCCUUUUAGACUGGAACAACUUACCGAAAGGUGAGCUAAUGCCGGAUGAGUUAUAUAAGUGCAUGUUUAUAUAGGAAAAGUUGGGGAGACCUGACGCUGAAAGAUGGACUCGCGUCCCAUUAGCUAGUUGGUAGGGUAAUGGCCUACCAAGGCGACGAUGGGUAGCCGGCCUGAGAGGGUGGCCGGCCACACUGGGACUGAAACACGGCCCAGACUCCUACGGGAGGCAGCAGUGGGGAAUUUUGCGCAAUGCUCGUAAGAGUGACGCAGCGACGCCGCGUGAAUGACGAAGGCCUUCGGGUCGUAAAGCUCUUUCGACAGGGAAGAAAAUGCCUAUAAGUAACUGUGUAUGUAUUGACGGUACCUGUAUAAGCAGCCCCGGCUAACUCCGUGCCAGCAGCCGCGGUAAUACGGAGGGGGCGAGCGUUGUUCGGAGUGACUGGGCGUAAAGAGCACGUAGGCGGUGUUGUAAGUCAUUAGUCAAAGACUAGAGCUCAACUUUAGUAAGGCUAGUGAUACUAUAAUACUAGAGUAUCAGAGAGGAUUGCAGAAUUCCUGGUGUAGCGGUGAAAUGCGUAGAUAUCAGGAGGAAUACCGUUAGCGAAGGCGGCAAUCUGGCUGGAAACUGACGCUGAGGUGCGAAAGCGUGGGUAGCAAACAGGAUUAGAUACCCUGGUAGUCCACGCUGUAAACGAUGGAUGC